rnacentral:rRNA from 1 species
ACCUGACUCCAUCCCGAACUCAGAAGUGAAACGAAACAGCGUCGAUGGUAGUGUGGGGUCUCCCCAUGUGAGAGUAGAACAUUGCCAGGC